rnacentral:ncRNA from 1 species
CACGUGGUGGGCCUUGCAAAAUGCACCCUACUUGGGCUUGGGGACUAAAAGUUGUGAAAAAUCUUAUUAGUAUUAGCCCACUUACAUAUGUGCCCAUCAUUUUUCUUCUUCACAAAUUAGGUCUAUAUACAAUAAAAGUGAUGCCUUGCUGCUUCUAUUAUCUAUUCUGUCUUCUUUCCUUUCCUAAGAUUCUUGAAUCUUCUCUGUGCCUUAUAUUUGGUAAGCACACGUCCAAUCCUGUAGCUAUUAUUCCUUCCUUCUCCACAAAAUCACAGGAUGAUAAUUUUUAUAUCUAUUUCUUGCCUUGGGAAUUAUACUUAUGAUGGCUAUGUAAGUUAGAGGUGAAAUUCUUAUAUUUAUGAAAGACGAACAACUGCGAAAGCAUUUGCCAAGGAUGUUUUCAUUAAUCAAGAACGAAAGUUGGGGGCUCGAAGACGAUCAGAUACCGUCCUAGUCUCAACCAUAAACGAUGCCGACCAGGGAUAGGCGGAUGUUGCUUUUAGGACUCUGCCGGCACCUUAUGAGAAAUCAAAGUCUUUGGGUUUUGGGGGGAGUAUGGUCGCAAGGUUGAAACUUAAAGGAAUUGAUGGAAGGGCACCGCCAGAAGUGGAGCCUGCGGCUCAAUUUGACUCAACACAGGGAAACUUACCAGGUCCAGACAUAGUAAGGAUUGACAGACUGAGAGCUCUUCCUUGAUUCUAUGGGUGGUGGUGCACGACCGUUCUUAGUUGGUGGAGCAAUUUUUCUGGUUAAUUCUGUUAACAAAUGAGACCUUAGCCUGCUAACUAGCUAUAUGGAGGUAUCCCUCUGUGGCUACCUUCUUAGAGGGACUAUGGCCUUCUAAGCCAAGGAAGUUUGAGGGAAUAACAGGUCUGUGAUGCCCUUAGAUGCUCUAGGCUGCACGCACGCUACACUAAUGUAUUCAACGAGUCUAUAGCCUUGGCCGACAAGCCCGGAUAAUCUUUGAAAUUUCAUCUUGGUGGGGAUAAAUCAUUGCAAUUGUUAGUCUUCAAUGAGGAAUUCCUAGUAAGCUUGAGUCAUCAGCUCGCGUUGACUACCUCCCUGCCCUUUGUACACACCGCCCGUUGCUCUUACAGAUUGAAUGGUCCGGUGAAGUGUUCACAUUGUGGCGACGUAGGUAGUUCACCGUCGGCAACAUCGCGAGAAAUCCAUCGAACCUUAUCAUUUAUAGGAAGGAAAAGUCGUAAUAAGGUCUCUGUAGGUGAACCUGCGAAAGGAUCAUUA